AUCAGCUACUUAGUGUGCAUGUGUGCAUGGAGCCAGGAAUGAAACUGAUUUUAUGAUAUGCAGCAGUACGCUUUACCCUGUCGGAAUGAAGUAUCAAGCCCCACCUUGUAAAGAAUAAAGAUUUUUCUUUUUCUUUUCUUUUUUUAAGUAUUGAAACUGGGGAUUGGAUGAAUGAGGAAGAGCCUGGAUGGAAUGAGCUGGUAAUAGAUAAGAUACAGUGAAAUGAAGGAAGAAAUUUGUUUUGAGCCAAAGAAUAAGAAACAGAACAAGAUCUGAAUGACAGAAGCUACUUGACAAUUCAAACAGUAGCAAAAACCACAAGAGCAAGCAAGGGAUUUGAUGAAAAAGAUGUGCAUUUAUAUAGGUUAAACAUCUGGAGCUUUGUUACUGUGACUUAAGAGAUAUAGUAUUCUAUCAACCCAAGAGAGGAACUGAAAAGCACUUCAGAAUAAAAUGCAUAACUGAGGCUCAGCUUGCAAGUUCCUGUGGGACAAGGAUCUUAUCUUCUCAUUCUCUGUCUGUAAAACACUGAUCUUAGACUUCCAGUACUAAAUGAUCACUGUACUGUCCUUAAUAUUAUGUGGGUGAUAAGUCGUGAACAGGCCAUGUUCAGAGUGAGCUUCAUCCAAGUAACCAGGAACAUUACAAGCAUUUUUGUGUUAGCCAACAUGGAAAAUAUGUAUUGAUUAAUCUGUGCCAUACUGCACCAUGUUUGAGAUUAUGCCACAUAUGGCAAAAAUAUUUUGCAAGACGUUCACUAUAGUGAAAAAAGUUACAUAUUUUCUAACUUUUUUGUUAUAAUUUUAUUAUCAUUCUGUUUUGACACUGUUGAUGAAUAUUAAGUCUGCUACUAGAGAAGGGUCAUGUUUUAGCACGCAGGUAACUUUUCUGCUUGUCACACUUCUUUAAUAUUUACUUUUUGCACAGCUAUUUAUAAUUGCU